rnacentral:rRNA from 1 species
UACAGAGGGUGCAAGCGUUAAUCGGAAUUACUGGGCGUAAAGGGCGCGUAGGUGGUUAGAUAAGUUAGGUGUGAAAGCCCUGGGCUUAACCUGGGAAUUGCGCCUAAUACUGUUUAGCUAGAGUACUGUAGAGGAAGGUGGAAUUUCCGGUGUAGCGGUGAAAUGCGUAGAUAUCGGAAGGAACAUCAGUGGCGAAGGCGCUCUGCUAGACCAUAACUGACACUCAGGGACGAAAGCUAGGGGAGCGAAUGGG